GGGGGAGCAAGCGUUGUUCGGAUUUACUGGGCGUAAAGGGCGCGUAGGCGGCAGCACAAGUCAGUUGUGAAAUCUCCGGGCUUAACCCGGAGCGGCCAAGUGAUACUGCGUGGCUAGAGUGCGGAAGGGGCAACUGGAAUUCUCGGUGUAGCGGUGAAAUGCGUAGAUAUCGAGAGGAACACCUGCGGCGAAGGCGGGUUGCUGGGCUGACACUGACGCUGAGGCGCGAAAGCCAGGGGAGCGAACGGGAUUAGAUACCCCGGUAGUCCUGGCCUUAAACGAUGGAUGCUUGGUGUCUGGAGUUACAUAGUCUCCGGGUGCCGCAGCUAACGCGUUAAGCAUCCCGCCUGGGGAGUACGGUCGCAAGACUG
rnacentral:rRNA from 1 species